GAUGAACGCUGGCGGCGUGCCUAAUACAUGCAAGUCGAGCGAACAGACGAGGAGCUUGCCCCUUUGACGUUAGCGGCGGACGGGUGAGUAACACGUAGGUAACCUACCUAUAAGACUGGGAUAACUUCGGGAAACCGGAGCUAAUACCGGAUAAUAUUUCGAACCGCAUGGUUCGAUAGUGAAAGAUGGCUUUGCUAUCACUUAUAGAUGGACCUGCGCCGUAUUAGCUAGUUGGUAAGGUAACGGCUUACCAAGGCAACGAUACGUAGCAGACCUGAGAGGGUGAUCGGCCACACUGGAACUGAGACACGGUACAGACUCCUACGGGAGGCAGCAGUAGGGAAUCUUCCGCAAUGGGCGAGAGCCUGACGGAGCAACGCCGCGUGAGUGAUGAAGGUCUUCGGAUCGUAGAACUCUGUUAUUAGGGAAGAACAAACGUGUAAGUAACUGUGCACGUCUUGACGGUACCUAAUCAGAAAGCCACGGCUAACUACGUG
rnacentral:rRNA from 1 species